GGGCCCGUAGCUCAGUUGGUUAGAGCAGACGACUCAUAAUCGUCGGGUCGUGGGUUCGAGUCCUACCGGGCCCA
rnacentral:tRNA from 1 species